AAGAAAUCUUGAGUGCCGCAUAUGGAGAAAAGUAUGUUUCGUUAAAGGCUAACGUGAAUGAUGGAAAACAUGCCAUAUCGGAAAUGCCAGCAACGGAAGCAACCAAAUUAAGGAAGCCUGAUGUUUCAUUGGAUGAUAUAGGUUUUGACGAUGAAGAAGCAAAACAUAGCUGUUUCCCGGAUCCAAUUAAAAUAGUUAAAAGUAUUAUUGGCGCUGCGUAUGAUUUAUUCGUCUCAAAUAGAGUGUGAAGAUUUUACCAAGUGAUACAAAUAUGUGUGCGGAAUUUCAACACAUGAUUUUUGUGUGAUAAAAGUGUAAGAAUGUAUUUUGUUGUAAAUAUUUUUGUUGAUUUUAAAUUUCCAGCUUUUUCAAAAAAUGUUUAUUUCUAACGGAAUUUUACAGUUCAAAUACUUGGACAUUCCAAGAAUGUGUGUUUUUGACCUCCGUUAUUUAAACGUUAAUUUGUUCACACAAAAAGUGAACCGAGAUCAAAAGUACGUACACAUAAAUGCUAUUCUACCACUCACUACAACGCUGCAUGUGAAGUACAUGCAUAUAUUUGUUUACCGUUCGUAACUUAACAAAGUUCAUUAGUUAUAAAUAUAAUAUUUCAGCCAUGGAUAUCCGUUUGCUUUAUAUUAAAGAUUAGACUGUUCAAAUGACCAAAGUGCCGUAAAGUGCUUGGAGGUACGCAAUAAUAUGGAGCCAUAUAAUAUGCACAAAGUUCCACUUUAAUUCCCAAACAUGAUCAAUCAAUGUUAGUAUCUUAAGUAAUGUUUAAUUCUAAUGCAAGCAUCUGACAAUCUGAUACCCUUGCAAGGUAAAUUACCAGAUACUUUAUGGCAACUUUGCAAACUAGGUGUCAAAAAUUCAGAAUUUCCAAUUUAUUCCAACAUUGCAUAACAAAUAUAAUUCCGCAAUGAUAACAUUUGCUGGCUUAACAUUUCAAAAAAUUUCGUAUUCACUAUGCUUGCAAUUACAGCCUUUAAAUAUGAAGCUUAAAUAUGUUCAACCUGUUAAGAUGCUGCUCAUAGUUUGAGAUAUAUAUUUUUUACGAAUUCUUAUUAACAAUGUAAUUAUCAAUAUAUGCCCUGUCAAUUGAACAUUUUUAUGAAACUGUUAAGUGCCACCGAAGGCCUACAAAGCUAAUGUUGUAUUUCGAUAUUUAUAUGCAAGACAGAUUAGAACUGCAAGGCCCGCUUGUCCGGUUUACAAUUGAGUAUUUUCAUCAUUUCGCUGCGCCACAGAUUCGCUGUUUUUGUUUUUCUUAUAUAUUGAACAAGUUAGUUAUUAAAAAUUUGUCAAAUCGAAUAUAUAUUCUCGUUUAAAUUAUGUUUAAGUGAAUUGCGACGCUAUAUGCGGUCAU